UCCCUCUCAGGACCGCACCUGGAGAGUUUCCAAUACUCUAUCAGUUCCGAUUAAGAGAGGGAGAGUCAGCAGAGGCCUACCCAUUCCAUUCCUAACUUGGGCAGUGGCUAGAGACUGGAAGGCCAACUGCUACAAGU